rnacentral:rRNA from 1 species
CUUGUACACACCGCCCGUCACACCAUGGGAGCGGGUUCUGCCAGAAGUAGUUAGCCUAACCGCAAGGAGGGCGAUACCACGGCAGGGUUCGUGACUGGGGUG